UUUCAUGAUUACGUACAUUUGGAAAAGGAAAAAUAAAUGGGUAAAACAAGAAGGGCAUGAAAGGCAAUUAGCAGAAAAGUGGAUGCCCUGCACGGCAGGCAAUGAUACUGUUCUUUUUUUUAUAUAUUUACUCCAAAAUAAUAGUAAAUAAAUGAAAUAUAAAACAUCUCAACACGCAAACUAUCCGUGAUGCUUUCUCUGUCACUUCACCUAAUCCAUUCCCAGUGUCAGCACUCGGUAUGCUUCAUCACCAUCAUCACUGCUGCUGCUUCUCCUGCACCCACCCGGCCGUCAUUUCAAAUCCCUCCCUCUUCUCGUGGUCCGCACAUCCCUUUUUUUCUUCUAACACCCCUUAAAUGUGGACCCUUAUCAAGGGUACGUGGCAAUCUUACAUAGUUGUGGCCCCCUCCUCACCAACGAAUCUGUCUGCAGCCAAGGCGUCACGGCACCCUUUAUUAAUGUUACAGCUCCACAAACAUUAAAAAAGAAAAUGCUAGUAUUAAGUACUAGUACUAGUAAAAUGCUGUCGUUGAUUUUUUUUAUCGUACAGGGAGAACUCCGUGAUACUGUCGAUGACGGUGACGGCGGCUCGACGUCGUUUUCAUGCUUCACAUGAACGGUUUUCUUUUGCUCCUGUUUGGCAUGAUUAUUAACGGAGCCGUUUUUCUUGGCGGUUGUCCUUUGGGAGUCGUUGUUCCCACAUCCUACGUUUAUUUUUACCUGCCAGACAUGCAUGAUGAUGAUCAUGCAUGGGUGUGCGAGAUUUGAUGUUUUAUCAUCUUUCAUCGUUUUUAUCAUGGACGAUGAUGAUGAUACAUGACGAUUGGUUGGUUUUGAUUGCUCUUUCCUUUCUUAACACUUAAAUCAACUUUCAAAUUUUUUUUUUUUUCAAUUAUCAUGGAUGAUGACGAUGAAUUGAAUGUAAACGCUUCCAUUGACAGUGGAUUUCGGCGAAUACCACUGAAAAUUUGAGAGAAUUCUGUGGUGCACCACAUGUUAGGGAGCCGCACGUCAUUACAUCGCGUGAGGAAAAGCUUCUUUGGACGGUGGCUAAAUCCUGUCCGCUACUUCCCUGGGCCCAAUGUUGAAACUAAUGACUUAUCAAAGGAUUAUAUUUUUAAAAAUUAUAUAAUAUAUAAUAAUUUUAUAUUAUUCAAAUAUACGAAUUGAGACGUCAAAUUUCAGAGCAAACAAUCAUUCCAUGCAUCUCCAGAGGACAAAAGAAGGACCCAAGGAAUGAAUUUUCCUUAAUUUAACAUUUUAAGGAAAAAACAAAAACAAAUGGGCCCAAUUCUAUGACUUGUAAUACUUACUCUUACUGGGUUUUUCUUUUUUAUUAGAAUAAAAAUUCGGGGAAGAUUUUGUUGAUUGGUGAAACACUUGCUGAGAUGUAGAUGGAACACUUGCUGCCUACGAAAAAAAGGUGAACGAGAAAGGCAUUAAAAAAGGUGAGAAGAAGAGUAAGUGUAUGGACACCUGACCAAAGUAAAUACUUCAUUUCAUUUGUUUAAAACGAACAAAGAAUAAGACCCAAUUAAGAAGGGGAAAAAACGUAUAGAGCCAAUGAGGUUUAAAUUGUAUUCAUAUUAUAACCGUAACUUCAUCUUACGUAUGAAUUCACACUCAAAAAUUAUCUAUUUUGAUUUAAAAUUUUUAUAAUUUUAUCACAUAAAUAAAACUUUAUAAAUAUAAGUUUGUUUUUUUACAUGUAUUAUAUAUCAGAUUUUCAUAUUUUUUCAAUGUAAAAUUAGGUAUAGAUCUCCAUAUCUUAUAGAAAAAUAAAUUAAAGAAUAGCCAUUGCCUCCUAUAAUAAAAAGCGAAAAAAAAAA